CCCUUAGAUGUUCUGGGCUGCACGCGCGCUACACUGACGCGUUCAACAAGUUGGACCUCGUCCGAGAGGAAAUCGGGGGAAUCUUUUGAAAACGUAUCGUGAUGGGGAUAGAUUAUUGUAAUUAUUAAUCUUGAACGAGGAAUUCCUAGUAAACGCAGAUCAUCAAUCUGCAUUGAUUACGUCCCUGCCCUUUGUACACACCGCCCGUCGCACCUACCGAUUGGAUGGUCCGGUGAAGCCUCGGGAUUGUGGUUCUUGCCGCUUUAUUGUGGCGUGACCGCGAGAACUUGUCUAAACCUUAUCAUCUAGAGGAAGGUGAAGUCGUAACA
rnacentral:rRNA from 1 species